rnacentral:rRNA from 1 species
AGAGUUUGAUCCUGGCUCAGGAUGAACGCUGGCGGCGUGCUUAACACAUGCAAGUCGAACGAACCUUCGGGUUAGUGGCGGACGGGUGAGUAACGCGUGAGAAUCUGCCCUCAGGAGGGGGAUAACGGCUGGAAACGGCCGCUAAUACCCCAUAUGCCGAGAGGUGAAAUGAGUUUUCGCCUGAGGAUGAGCUCGCGUCUGAUUAGCUAGUUGGUGAGGUAAGAGCUUACCAAGGCAUCGAUCAGUAGCUGGUCUGAGAGGAUGAUCAGCCACACUGGGACUGAGACACGGCCCAGACUCCUACGGGAGGCAGCAGUGGGGAAUUUUCCGCAAUGGGCGAAAGCCUGACGGAGCAACGCCGCGUGAGGGACGAAGGCCUCUGGGCUGUAAACCUCUUUUUCUCAAGGAAGAAGACCUGACGGUACUUGAGGAAUAAGCCACGGCUAAUUCCGUGCCAGCAGCCGCGGUAAUACGGGAGUGGCAAGCGUUAUCCGGAAUUAUUGGGCGUAAAGCGUCCGCAGGCGGCCUUGUAAGUCUGCUGUCAAAGAGUGGAGCUCAACUCCAUAGAGGCAGCGGAAACUGUAAGGCUUGAGUGUGGUAGGGGCAGAGGGAAUUCCCGGUGUAGCGGUGAAAUGCGUAGAUAUCGGGAAGAACACCAGUGGCGAAGGCGCUCUGCUGGGCCAUAACUGACGCUCAUGGAUGAAAGCCAGGGGAGCGAAAGGGAUUAGAUACCCCUGUAGUCCUGGCCGUAAACGAUGAACACUAGGUGUCGGGGGAAUCGACCCCCUCGGUGUCGUAGCCAACGCGUUAAGUGUUCCGCCUGGGGAGUACGCACGCAAGUGUGAAACUCAAAGGAAUUGACGGGGGCCCGCACAAGCGGUGGAGUAUGUGGUUUAAUUCGAUGCAACGCGAAGAACCUUACCAGGGUUUGACAUCCUGCGAACCCCUGAGAGAUCGGGGGGUGCCUUCGGGAGCGCAGAGACAGGUGGUGCAUGGCUGUCGUCAGCUCGUGUCGUGAGAUGUUGGGUUAAGUCCCGCAACGAGCGCAACCCACGUCUUUAGUUGCCAGCAUUCAGUUGGGCACUCUAGAGAGACCGCCGGUGAUAAACCGGAGGAAGGUGUGGAUGACGUCAAGUCAUCAUGCCCCUUACAUCCUGGGCUACACACGUACUACAAUGCUACGGACAGAGGGCAGCAAACUCGCGAGAGCUAGCAAAUCCCAUAAACCGUGGCUCAGUUCAGAUCGUAGGCUGCAACUCGCCUACGUGAAGGAGGAAUCGCUAGUAAUCGCAGGUCAGCAUACUGCGGUGAAUACGUUCCCGGGCCUUGUACACACCGCCCGUCACACCAUGGAAGUUGGCCACGCCCGAAGCCGUUACUCCAACCCUUGU